AACCACAAGGGGAGCUAAAUAGCUGAGAGUGAACGUUUUGUUCUGACCCUUCGAACCUGUUAGUUAAUGCUAGCGCAGGGAUGUGGAUUAUGA
rnacentral:ncRNA from 1 species